GGUCACUCUGGAUAUCUAACUUCGGCCCGUGAUCCGGGUCAGGGACAGUGCCUGAUGGGUAGUUUAACUGGGGCGGUUGCUCCUAAAAUGUAACGGAGGCGCCCAAAGGUUCCCUCAGCCUGGUUGGCAAUCAGGUGUCGAGUGCAAGUGCACAAGGGAGCUUGACUGUGAGAGUGGCAGCUCGAGCAGGGACGAAAGUCGGGACU
rnacentral:rRNA from 1 species